AGUGAACGCUGGCGGUAGGCCUAACACAUGCAAGUCGAACGGCAGCACAGUAAGAGCUUGCUCUUACGGGUGGCGAGUGGCGGACGGGUGAGGAAUACAUCGGAAUCUACUUUUUCGUGGGGGAUAACGUAGGGAAACUUACGCUAAUACCGCAUACGACCUACGGGUGAAAGCAGGGGAUCUUCGGACCUUGCGCGAUUGAGUGAGCCGAUGUCGGAUUAGCUAGUUGGCGGGGUAAAGGCCCACCAAGGCGACGAUCCGUAGCUGGUCUGAGAGGAUGAUCGGCCACACUGGAACUGAGACACGGUCCAGACUCCUACGGGAGGCAGCAGUGGGGAAUAUUGGACAAUGGGCGCAAGCCUGAUCCAGCCAUACCGCGUGGGUGAAGAAGGCCUUCGGGUUGUAAAGCCCUUUUGUUGGGAAAGAAAAGCAGCAGGUUAAUACCCCGCUGUUCUGACGGUACCCAAAGAAUAAGCACCGGCUAACUUCGUG
rnacentral:rRNA from 1 species